rnacentral:rRNA from 1 species
UACGAAGGGGGCUAGCGUUGCUCGGAAUGACUGGGCGUAAAGCGCACGUAGGCGGCUUCUUAAGUCAGGGGUGAAAUCCUGGAGCUCAACUCCAGAACUGCCUUUGAUACUGAGGAGCUUGAGUCCGGGAGAGGUGAGUGGAACUGCGAGUGUAGAGGUGAAAUUCGUAGAUAUUCGCAAGAACACCAGUGGCGAAGGCGGCUCACUGGCCCGGUACUGACGCUGAGGUGCGAAAGCGUGGGGAGCAAACAGG